GAGGCUGUAACUCAGUUGCGUAGAGUGCUUGUCUGUCGAACAAGAUGUCGCGGGUUCAAGUCCCGUCAGCCUCG
rnacentral:tRNA from 10 species